UUUCUCAUAUAAUAAUAAUAAUAAUAAUAAUAAUAAUAAUAAUACAUCAUAUUAAAUCCUCCCAAUAUUUUCCUCAGAUCUAAAAUUAGGACCAAACAACAUGGCAAAAAGAUAGUGUAUAUAUGUAGUAUUAUUUGGUAUCUUUAAUAACUUGAAAUAAAUCUCAUUCAUUAAUUGAACCAAAUCCAUAACUAAAAUGAUAACUAAUAAACAUAUAUACAUGGUGCGAUUUCAAUGAAAACAUUAGAAUUAUGCAAAAAACAACUAGACCACCCUGAUUAACAAUUAAUUAAUAAUGUUAAGAAAUUAUUCAUAAAGAUUUACAAUUUUACUCAAAUUUUAUUGUGAAGAAUUACAACUUAACCAUUGAAAUGUAUUUGGCUUCCCAAAUCUUGGAGAGAAAAAAUGCCUAUAAUUUAGAACCCUAACCCUAACCUGAAAACCCCAUGAGAAAAAAAAAUGCAAAAAACAUUUUAUUAAUUUCUCAGAAACAUUAUAUUUUAUUUAUAACCCUUUGAUUAUCAAAUAUAUGAAAUAUGAACAAUACAAACAUUAAUCAACACGCUGCUAUAAUAAGUUAUUGAGUCACCAGCAGUAGCAAAGAGAGAGAAAAAAAAAAUGAAGUGUCAAUGUCUUCAUGAGAGUCAGAGAAGAACAGAAAGCGAUUGAAGAUCUAAUAUCCACACAAAUCUGGCAAAAAAAAUUUAUCUUUUAAAAAAAAAA
rnacentral:lncRNA from 1 species